rnacentral:rRNA from 1 species
GAUGAACGCUGGCGGCGUGCCUAAUACAUGCAAGUCGAGCGAACAGACGAGGAGCUUGCUCCUCUGACGUUAGCGGCGGACGGGUGAGUAACACGUGGAUAACCUACCUAUAAGACUGGGAUAACUUCGGGAAACCGGAGCUAAUACCGGAUAAUAUAUUGAACCGCAUGGUUCAAUAGUGAAAGACGGUUUUGCUGUCACUUAUAGAUGGAUCCGCGCCGCAUUAGCUAGUUGGUAAGGUAACGGCUUACCAAGGCAACGAUGCGUAGCCGACCUGAGAGGGGUCUCGGCCACCCUGGAACGGAGACACGGUCCAAACCCCUACGGGAGGCAGCAGUAGGGAAUUUUCCGCAAUGGGCGAAAGCCUGACGGAGCAACGCCGCGUGAGUGAUGAAGGUCUUCGGAUCGUAAAACUCUUUUAUUAGGGAAAAAAAAAUGUUUAAGUAACUAUGCACGUUUUGACGGUACCUAAUCAGAAAGCCACGGCUAACUACGU